UACGUAGGGUCCGAGCGUUGUCCGGAAUUACUGGGCGUAAAGAGCUCGUAGGUGGUUUGUCGCGUUGUUCGUGAAAACUCACAGCUUAACUGUGGGCGUGCGGGCGAUACGGGCAGACUAGAGUACUGCAGGGGAGACUGGAAUUCCUGGUGUAGCGGUGGAAUGCGCAGAUAUCAGGAGGAACACCGGUGGCGAAGGCGGGUCUCUGGGCAGUAACUGACGCUGGAGGAGCGAAAGCCGUGGGGAGCGAACAGG
rnacentral:rRNA from 1 species